UCCCUGGUGGUCCAGUGUCUAGGACUCCGUGCUCCCAAUUCAGGGGGCACAGGUUCAAUCCCUGGCCAGGGAA
rfam:Ovis aries breed Texel chromosome 3, whole genome shotgun sequence.